AAGAAAGGUCAGAAGAGAUGUAAAGAUGUUGAAAGAAGGGUUCUGCAAAAAGGAAAGAAGAUCAUAAAUCAGUGGCAAAUGUGCAGAUUUGGACUGUCCAAAGUUUUACCUUGAGAAUAUUUUCUUGAAGCAUUCCAAAACACUGAAAUCCUGGGAUGGCAAGAAAAAAAAAAUCAAGUAAAAGCUCAGACUAUUGCAGAUACCUGUUGUGUUUGGAGGAAUGAAAAAUUGUUUUGCAGGCUUUGCAUACCUGCAGGCAAUACCUGCUGCAGAAACAACCACAGUCUUAGGUUGUGUGAAAGGCUACUGCAAACAUUAGCCACGUGGCACGGGACAAGUAUCAUAUAGGAAGCCUGCUCCGAGAUCAUUCUUGGUAGUUGUGAAUACUUUAACCUUCAUACUUCAGCUAUGUGAGCUUUUACACUGUAAGACCAUUGAAGGUAAUGGGAGGACAUGCAUGCUGUGCAACCUAAGUAUGCACUAAGUGCCCAUGUUCUCUAUACCCAACAGACAACAUGUCAUAGCCAAUGUAAGUGAAACACAGGA